GCACCUGAAAUUAGAUAUUGUUCAUAGGUUUCAGGAGU
rnacentral:sRNA from 1 species